CAAGGAACUAGAUUUAAGCUUUGGAGGGAUCGGAAAUUAAGGGACUGUAAGGAGGAUGUGAUUCAUACUAUUCUCCCUCUCCCCCUCCCACACACGACCGUAAGUCUCCCCGCUCGGCCUUCGGGGACGCGGCCCUGAUCUCUCCGCGGCCUGUGUCCCUGUCGCUUGCUCCUGUCGCUCCGGACCACUGUGUCUGGGGCGCCCUCCGCCUGGCUUCUCCUAGCCCCCGGGAGGAGGCGCUGGUGCCCGGGUCGGCCUCCGGUCCCUCCCAGCCGGCGUCCUGGAGCCCCCAUUCACAAAGCUCGGCUUGGAGGAGGCGACACACACACACACACACACACACACACACACACAGCUCGGCUUGGAGGAGGCGACACACACACACACACACACACACACACACACACACACACACACACACAGCGAAGAGGGGAGUUUGAUCUUGUCUCAUUGGCGUCUCGGGCCUGAAAAGGAAAAUCGUUUGGGUAAACAGCCAAGCUUCCAGGCUUAACGCCCGGCUCCCGCCCCCGCCCCUCCGCCCCCUCCCGCCUCCCCCACUCCCCUUCAACCCCACCCGCCACCCACACUCCGCUCCGCAGCCGGGCCCCGAGCGAGCUCCGCGCGCCCGGGCGGGAGCCGAGGGCUCCCCGGGUUCAAAGGGCCGCAGCCCCGAGGGAAUGCCCUCCUCGCUGUGCCCCGGGGGGCAGAAGCGGACUGCAGGGCGGUGGGACCGGCCUGGGCCACGGACCGAUGGGCUGAACAGUUUUAAAACCUGGCUGUGGCCAUUCAUUUGGACGACUCCAGCAGACCCAUGUGUCCUACAGUUCAACUUUUCAAACCUACUCUGUUUGUAAUUCCUCAGCAGGAUUCUGAGCUCUGCUGGGCAUAUUUCAGUUUUACAGUUAAUCAGAAAGAUUUUGCUCCAAAUUUGCCCUUAGUGUGGACCUUUAUUAACGCGAUAUGCCUCACAUUAGUGAGUGCCUGCUUUUGAGCCAUAUGCCCUGAAUAAGUUAUCAGGUUUCACUGUUUACCCUUGGUUUAAAAAAAAAAAAUUCCAUACACUCUGACCUCAUGACACCUAAACCCUGUCCGUGCAGUUGAAACAGGAAAACUAGUCAUCUGAUAUCAUGAAGGCAAAUCAGCUGGUAGAUGUGCUCAAAUGUUUCCGUUUCCACCAGUGUGUGGGCAUUGUGGGGAGCCAUAGAUUAUUAAUCAGGAAUGUGCAGGAGAGGAUUUCUUGUUUGUGUGUUUGUUAAUUUCCAAAAUAAACCCAAUACAAAGAGAUACAGCUACAGUGCAUUUAUUUUUCAUUGUUAGCACAUAUCAUUAUGUCAUCAUGUAAGAAUUGCUCA
rnacentral:lncRNA from 1 species